AUCAAUCUGCUGAAUGGAUGGACUUGUGAAACUGGGGGGCAGAACCGGGUUUGGUGCCAGCCUUGUACAGGUCUUUUCUAUUAUUUUUGUUGUUUUUUGUUUUGUUAUUUGCAGAUUUGUGGGGACACCUUGGGGUGGUUCUAUAGCUGUGUCCUGAAAGGUCAUGUUUUCUCGGUCUCCAUCUCUGUUUUGGCUCAAGACAGUGUGCAUCUCAGGAGGAUCAAUCCAGAUGGAGGCUACAGUGUGCUUGGCAUCCACUCAAGCUAAGACUUUCUCCUAGCCCUAGUUAAAGGAAACCCACAUGCCCCUCAACAAUACCAGGCCCUAAAAGGGGACCCCUAAUAUUCCAGAAUUGGAAUAUUCCCCAAAACAAGAGGAGGGAAUGAAGAAAACAUGGUUUUGCAAACUAGAGAACUAGUGAUCCCACCCUGCCUGUUGACUAGAACAACAGGUGAUUUCCAACAGCCUGCAGGUGCUUCCCUGUCCUUCAACCCAGGCCUUUGACAUAAUCAAUCAUGGUAAAUGCCCUUAAAAUGAGCCAAUCCCUGCUUUUGACAAACAACCCCCUCCUUGAAAAUGUGGUUUUUGCCUUUAAAAGCAGCCUGUGCUAGUGGGGCUGAGAAUAAAAUUCCUCUUGCUUUUGCAUCAACUGGACUGCUUUCUGUAAACUGUCAGUGCCCUUGUAAGUGUUUCUCUUCUUGAAACUUCUGGGAACUCUUGGAAUGUAAAGACCUCAAUAAGGAAACCUGGUCCAACAGCCUUUGUGGCCUCCAUGAGGCAGA